rnacentral:rRNA from 1 species
AGAGUUUGAUCCUGGCUCAGGAUGAACGCUGGCGGCGUGCCUAAUACAUGCAAGUCGAGCGAACCACUUCGGUGGUGAGCGGCGAACGGGUGAGUAACACGUAGGUGAUCUGCCCAUCAGACGGGGACAACGAUUGGAAACGAUCGCUAAUACCGGAUAGGACGAAAGUUUAAAGGUGCUCUUGGCACCGCUGAUGGAUGAGCCUGCGGCGCAUUAGCUAGUUGGUAGGGUAAAGGCCUACCAAGGCGACGAUGCGUAGCCGACCUGAGAGGGUGAACGGCCACACUGGGACUGAGACACGGCCCAGACUCCUACGGGAGGCAGCAGUAGGGAAUCUUCGGCAAUGGGCGAAAGCCUGACCGAGCAACGCCGCGUGAAUGAUGAAGGCCUUCGGGUUGUAAAAUUCCGUUAUAAGGGAAGAACGACUUUAGUAGGAAAUGGCUAAAGUGUGACGGUACCUUAUGAGAAAGCCACGGCUAACUACGUGCCAGCAGCCGCGGUAAUACGUAGGUGGCAAGCGUUAUCCGGAAUUAUUGGGCGUAAAGAGCGCGCAGGUGGUUGAUUAAGUCUGAUGUGAAAGCCCACGGCUUAACCGUGGAGGGUCAUUGGAAACUGGUCGACUUGAGUGCAGAAGAGGGAAGUGGAAUUCCAUGUGUAGCGGUGAAAUGCGUAGAGAUAUGGAGGAACACCAGUGGCGAAG